ACUGAGCACAACUGUGCAGGGGAAUCCAUGCUUCAUGGCGCUCUCCAGUCUCCUCUGGGUGUUCCUGGCCUUCACCUUCUCUGGAUCCAGUGUAGCCCAGAAAGUUAUUCAAGACCAGCCAGACAUAUCCAGUCGAGUUGGGGAGUCAGUUACCCUGAACUGUCGGUAUGAAACAAGUCGGAUGUAUGAAACAGUUUGGAGCAGUUACAACAUUUUUUGGUACAAGCAACUUCCUAGUGGAGAGAUUAUUUUCCUUACAAGGGUUGGCCGUUACUCUAUAAAUUUUGAGAGAGCACAUAAAUCAUCCAGCCUCACCAUUUCAACCUUACAAUUGGAAGAUUCUGCAAAGUACUUCUGUGCUCUCUGGGACCUCACAGUGCUUGAAGUAAUAGGAAAAGCUGAACAAAAACCCCCAAGCUUAAUAAGAGAAAGCCUCUCUGCUGUAGGACCCUAG